AUUGAACGCUAGCGGCAGGCUUAACACAUGCAAGUCGAGCGAGCGGCGGACGGGUGAGUAAUGUCUGGGAAACUGCCUGAUGGCGGGGGAUAACUACUGGAAACGGUAGCUAAUACCGCAUACCAUCAGAUGUGCCCAGAUGGGAUUAGCUAGUAGGUGGGGUAAUGGCUCACCUAGGCGACGAUCCCUAGCUGGUUUGAGAGGAUGACCAGCCACACUGGGACUGAGACACGGUCCAGACUCCUACGGGAGGCAGCAGUGGGGAAUUUUGCACAAUGGGGGCAAGCCUGAUGCAGCCAUGCCGCGUGUGUGAAGAAGGCCUUCGGGUUGUAAAGCACUUUCGGCGGGGAGGCGUUAUUCGCAGAAGAAGCACCGGCUAACUCCGUGCCAGCAGCCGCGGUAAUUC
rnacentral:rRNA from 1 species